rnacentral:rRNA from 1 species
GACGAACGCUGGCGGCGUGCCUAAUACAUGCAAGUAGAACGCUGACUACUUUAGCUUGCUAGAGUAGAAGGAGUUGCGAACGGGUGAGUAACGCGUAGGUAACCUGCCUACUAGCGGGGGAUAACUAUUGGAAACGAUAGCUAAUACCGCAUAACAGUGUUUAACACAUGUUAGAUGCUUGAAAGAUGCAAUUGCAUCACUAGUAGAUGGACCUGCGUUGUAUUAGCUAGUUGGUGGGGUAACGGCCCACCAAGGCGACGAUACAUAGCCGACCUGAGAGGGAGGUCGGCCACACUUGGACUGGGACACGGCCCAGACUCCUACGGGAGGCAGCAGUAGGGAAUCUUCGGCAAUGGGGGCAACCCUGACCGGGCAACGCCGCGUGAGUGAAGAAGGUUUUCGGAUCGUAAAGCUCUGUUGUAAGAGAAGAACGUGUGUGAGAGUGGAAAGUUCACACAGUGACGGUAACUUACCAGAAAGGGACGGCUAACUACGUGCCAGCAGCCGCCGUAA